rnacentral:rRNA from 1 species
UACGUAGGGCGCAAGCGUUGUCCGGAAUUAUUGGGCGUAAAGAGCCCGUAGGCGGUCUGUCACGUCUGCCGUGAAAACCCGAGGCUUAACCUCGUGGCUUGCGGUGGAUACGGGCAGACUAGAGGUAGGUAGGGGAGAACGGAAUUCCCGGUGUAGCGGUGAAAUGCGCAGAUAUCGGGAGGAACACCGGUGGCGAAGGCGGUUCUCUGGGCCUUACCUGACGCUGAGGAGCGAAAGCAUGGGGAGCGAACAGG